CGGACGGGUGAGUAAUGUCUGGGAAACUGCCCGAUGGAGGGGGAUAACUACUGGAAACGGUAGCUAAUACCGCAUAACGUCGCAAGACCAAAGAGGGGGACCUUUGAGCCUCUUGCCAUCGGAUGUGCCCAGAUGGGAUUAGCUAGUAGGUGGGGUAACGGCUCACCUAGGCGACGAUCCCUAGCUGGUCUGAGAGGAUGACCAGCCACACUGGAACUGAGACACGGUCCAG
rnacentral:rRNA from 1 species